rnacentral:rRNA from 1 species
CCUACGGGAGGCUGCAGUGAGGAAUAUUGGUCACUGGACGCAAGUCUGAACCAGCCAUGCCGCGUGCAGGAUGACGGCUCUAUGAGUUGUAAACUGCUUUUGUACGAGGGUAAUAUCAGAUACGUGUAUCUGCUUGAACGUAUCGUACGAGUAAGGAUCGGCUAUCUCCGUGCCAGCAGCCGCGGUAAUACGGAGGAUCCAAGCGUGAUCCGGAUUUAUUGGGUUUAAGGGGGGCGUAGGCGGUUUUAUAAGGUAGAGGUGAAAAUGCGGGGCUCAACUUCGGACGUGCCUCUGAUACUGGAGGACUAGAGAAUAGAUGAGGUAGGCGGAAUGUAUGGUGUAGCGGUGAAAUGCGUAGAGAUCAUACAGAACACCGAUUGCGAAGGCAGCUUACCAAACUAUAACUGACGUUGAGGCACGAAAGCGUGGGGAGCAAACAGGAUUAGAUACCCUAGUAGUC